ACUAAAUAUUGCAUUUCAUAUGCUUUUCACCUGGAUAUUGGAGAGCAAUUUCACACCUUGGUUUUUGUCUCACUGAUGUCUGUACUCUCACUGAGUCUGUUAACAGCACGACCCACAGUGAAGUGAAAAGACAGCUGAACCAGCAUACCUGCCAGAAGCAAUGAAGUCAUAACAGCACGGAGUUCAGCUGAUGGAACCGUGGAACAG
rnacentral:lncRNA from 1 species